rnacentral:tRNA from 2 species
GCCGGGGUCGCCUAGCCUGGUGGGGCGCGCGCUUGGAAAGCGCGUAUUCGCAAGAGUACGGGAGUUCGAAUCUCCCCCCCGGCGCCA